ACGGCCGCAUCACGUUGAAACACAGUUUCCCCGUAUGAUCACCAAAGUUAAGCAAAUUCAGGCCUGGUCAGUACCUGGAUGAGUGACAGCUUGGGAAUAUCAGGUGCUGUAA